rfam:Gossypium raimondii chromosome 1, whole genome shotgun sequence.
AUUCCAUGAUGAGGACAUUUUCGUAGCAGUUUUUUGAAUAUUUCCCACACCUCAUACAAGGACUCGUCAUCCAUCUGUUGGAAGGUUGUGAUCUCGUUCCGCAAUUU